GUGGGGAAUAUUGCACAAUGGGCGAAAGCCUGAUGCAGCGACGCCGCGUGAGCGAAGAAGUAUUUCGGUAUGUAAAGCUCUAUCAGCAGGGAAGAUAAUGACGGUACCUGACUAAGAAGCACCGGCUAAAUACGUGCCAGCAGCCGCGGUAAUACGUAUGGUGCAAGCGUUAUCCGGAUUUACUGGGUGUAAAGGGAGCGCAGGCGGUGCGGCAAGUCUGAUGUGAAAGCCCGGGGCUCAACCCCGGUACUGCAUUGGAAACUGUCGUACUAGAGUGUCGGAGGGGUAAGCGGAAUUCCUAGUGUAGCGGUGAAAUGCGUAGAUAUUAGGAGGAACACCAGUGGCGAAGGCGGCUUACUGGACGAUAACUGACGCUGAGGCUCGAAAGCGUGGGGAGCAAACAGGA
rnacentral:rRNA from 1 species